rnacentral:rRNA from 1 species
CGCACGAGAACGUUUCAGCUUGCUGAAACUAGUAAAGUGGCGCACGGGUGAGUAACGCGUGGGUAAUCUACCUCCGAAUUGGGGAUAACAUUGCGAAAGCGAUGCUAAUACCGAAUGACAUCUCAAUCACUCCGGUCUUUUGAGAUCAAAGGUGGGUCUCUCCAUGGAAGCUACUGUUUGGAGAUGAGCCGCGUACCAUUAGCUUGUUGGUAGGGUAAUGGCCUACCAAGGCGACGAUGGUUAGCUGGUCUGAGAGGAUGAUCAGCCACACUGGAACUGACACACGGUCCAGACUCCUACGGGAGGCAGCAGUGAGGAAUUUUGCGCAAUGGGGGAAACCCUGACGCAGCAACGCCGCGUGAGUGAUGAAGGCUCUCGGGUCGUAAAGCUCUGUCAAGUGAGAAGAACCUGCCCUUUGCUAAUAUCACUGGGCACUGACGGUAUCACUGAAGGAAGCACCGGCUAACUCCGUG